AAUAGGCAAUUCCAGCUUUUAGUUUAUGCGUGCAGGGGGCGAUUGGAAGUAAGGCAUCAUAUUGCUGAUUGUGCUGAAAAAAUAAAAAUGGCGACCGUGUAAACACAGAGUGACAGCUUAUACUUGUAAAUAUUGAAAUAUUUCUGUUGUUUCGGCAGUUUUUAUUCAAAUUUUUCAGCAUAAUCAGCAAUAUGACACCUUACUUCCCAUCAUCCCCUUUACCUAAUUUAUAGCCUACCGAUGUUUUCAUGUUUGUAAAAUUAUUGUAACACCUUUGUUACACAGUUAUUCAGCUACCAUGCUCCCCCCCCCCCCCUCCCC